rnacentral:rRNA from 1 species
UUUAUUGGAGAGUUUGAUCCUGGCUCAGGAUGAACGCUGGCGGCGUGCCUAAUACAUGCAAGUCGAGCGAAUGGAUUGAGAGCUUGCUCUCAAGAAGUUAGCGGCGGACGGGUGAGUAACACGUGGGUAACCUGCCCAUAAGACUGGGAUAACUCCGGGAAACCGGGGCUAAUACCGGAUAAUAUUUUGAACUGCAUGGUUCGAAAUUGAAAGGCGGCUUCGGCUGUCACUUAUGGAUGGACCCGCGUCGCAUUAGCUAGUUGGUGAGGUAACGGCUCACCAAGGCAACGAUGCGUAGCCGACCUGAGAGGGUGAUCGGCCACAC